rnacentral:rRNA from 1 species
GCUUACCAUGCAGUCGAACGGCAGCGCGGGGCAACCUGGCGGCGAGUGGCGAACGGGUGAGUAAUAUAUCGGAACGUACCCUGGAGUGGGGGAUAACGUAGCGAAAGUUACGCUAAUACCGCAUACGAUCUAAGGAUGAAAGUGGGGGAUGCGCAAGCACCUCAUGCUCCUGGAGCGGCCGAUAUCUGAUUAGCUAGUUGGUGGGGUAAAGGCCUACCAAGGCAUCGAUCAGUAGCUGGUCUGAGAGGACGACCAGCCACACUGGAACUGAGACACGGUCCAGACUCCUACGGGAGGCAGCAGUGGGGAAUUUUGGACAAUGGGCGAAAGCCUGAUCCAGCAAUGCCGCGUGAGUGAAGAAGGCCUUCGGGUUGUAAAGCUCUUUUGUCAGGGAAGAAACGGUGAGAGCUAAUAUCUCUUGCUAAUGACGGUACCUGAAGAAUAAGCACCGGCUAACUACGUGCCAGCA